GUUAUAUGGUCAAGUGAACAAGCGCAUCUGGUGGAUGCCUUGGCAGCUGAAGGCGAUGAAGGACGUUGUAGCUUGCGAUAAGCCUCGGGGAGCCGGCUAACAGGCUUUGAUCCGAGGAUUUCCGAAUGGGGAAACCCGACGCUCUUGAGCGUCAUCAUUGACUGAAUUCAUAGGUCAGUGAAGCGAACCCGGGGAACUGAAAUAUCUAAGUACCCGGAGGAAAAGAAAUCAAUCGAGAUUCCCUUAGUAGCGACGAGCGAAAGGGGAACAGCCCUUAAGCAUACAUAUUGUUAGCAGAAGUCCCUGGAAAGGGGCGCCAUAGUGGGUGAUAGCCCCGUAUGCGAAAACGAUAUUACUGUGAAAUCGAGUAGGGCGGGGCACGUGAAACCCUGUCUGAACAUGGGGGGACCAUCCUCCAAGGCUAAAUACUCUCAGCUGACCGAUAGUGAACCAGUACCGUGAGGGAAAGGCGAAAAGAACCCCUGUGAGGGGAGUGAAAUAGAUCCUGAAACCGGAUGCGUACAAGCAGUGGGAGCGGGCCUUCGGGCCUGUGACUGCGUACCUUUUGUAUAAUGGGUCAGCGACUUACUUUUACUGGCAAGGUUAACCGUCUAGGGGAGCCGUAGGGAAACCGAGUCUUAAUAGGGCGUUUUAGUCGGUAGGAGUAGACCCGAAACCGGGCGAUCUAGCCAUGGGCAGGGUGAAGGUCAGGUAACACUGACUGGAGGCCCGAACCCACCUAUGUUGAAAAAUGGGGGGAUGACCUGUGGCUAGGGGUGAAAGGCCAAGCAAACCCGGAAAUAGCUGGUUCUCCGCGA
rnacentral:rRNA from 1 species